CCGAGUGAGGGUCUUUCGACCCAACCUCCAACCCUUUGUUAAUGAAUAUCCGUUGCCUUGGGGGGCCCGUCCCGCGGGUCCCCCAAUGGUCUUACAACACUGCAUCUUUGCGUCGGAGUAAUGAAAUCAAUCAAUUA
rnacentral:misc_RNA from 1 species